AGUGAACGCUGGCGGCAGGCCUAAUACAUGCAAGUCGAACGGCAGCACAGCAGAGCUUGCUCUGUGGGUGGCGAGUGGCGGACGGGUGAGGAAUACAUGGGAAUCUGCCCAGUCGUGGGGGAUAACGUAUGGAAACGUACGCUAAUACCGCAUGCGCCCUAAGGGGGAAAGCCGGGGACCGCAAGGCCUGGCGCGAUUGGAUGAGCCCAUGUUCGAUUAGCUAGUUGGCGGGGUAAAGGCCCACCAAGGCGACGAUCGAUAGCUGGUCUGAGAGGAUGAUCAGCCACACUGGAACUGAGACACGGUCCAGACUCCUACGGGAGGCAGCAGUAGGGAAUAUUGGACAAUGGGGGCAACCCUGAUCCAGCCAUGCCGCGUGAGUGAAGAAGGCCCUCGGGUUGUAAAGCUCUUUUGUCCGGAAAGAAAGCAAUCGGUUAAUACCCGGUUGUCCUGACGGUACCGGAAGAAUAAGCACCGGCUAACUUCGUGCC
rnacentral:rRNA from 1 species